UGCAUCUGCAGCUCAUGAGGAUGAGAACCUCCGGGGGCAGGGAGGUUCGACUCGAGCGAAGCGAGAGAACGUUGCGCCAGCAACGGCCCGCAGGGCGAG
rnacentral:sRNA from 1 species